UACGUAGGGGGCAAGCGUUGUCCGGAAUUAUUGGGCGUAAAGAGCGUGUAGGCGGCCAGAUAAGUCCGCUGUGAAAUCUCGAGGCUCAACUUCGAGCUGUCGGUGGAAACUAUCUGGCUAGAGUCCGGAAGAGGAGAAUGGAAUUCCUGGUGUAGCGGUGAAAUGCGCAGAUAUCAGGAGGAACACCAACGGCGAAGGCAGCUUGCUGGGACGUUACUGACGCUGAGACGCGAAAGCGUGGGGAGCAAACAGG
rnacentral:rRNA from 1 species